CAGUCGAGCGAGAAGACGUGGCAAUACGUUUGUAAAGCGGCGAACGGGUGAGGAAUACAUGGGUAACCUACCCUCGAGUGGGGAAUAACUAGCCGAAAGGUUAGCUAAUACCGCAUACGACUCUCGGUCUGCGGAUCGAGAGGGAAAGCGAUACCGUGGGUAUCGCGCUCAUGGAUGGGCUCAUGUCCUAUCAGCUUGUUGGUGAGGUAACGGCUCACCAAGGCUUCGACGGGUAGCUGGUCUGAGAGGACGAUCAGCCACACUGGCACUGCGACACGGGCCAGACUCCUACGGGAGGCAGCAGUAAGGAAUAUUGCGCAAUGGGCGACAGCCUGACGCAGCGACGCCGCGUGGGGGAUGAAGGUCUUCGGAUUGUAAACCCCUUUCGGCAGGGAAGAUGGAACGGGUAACCGUUCGGACGGUACCUGCAGAAGCAGCCACGGCUAACUUCGUGCCAGCAGCCGCGGUAAUACGAAGGUGGCAAGCGUUGUUCGGAUUUACUGGGCGUACAGGGAGCGUAGGCGGUUGGGUAAGCCUUUCGUGAAAUCUCCGGGCCUAACCCGGAAAGUGCGGAGGGGACUGCUCGGCUAGAGGAUGGGAGAGGAGCGCGGAAUUCCCGGUGUAGCGGUGAAAUGCGUAGAGAUCGGGAGGAAGGCCGGUGGCGAAGGCGGCGCUCUGGAACAUAUCUGACGCUGAGGCU
rnacentral:rRNA from 1 species